ensembl:lncRNA
UGUAAAUCAGUUAAUAAAGCAUGUGAAAAGUAAACAAUUAAACACAUGGGUAGAUAGAACAAUAAUAAGUAUUCAUACGAAAAGUGAGCAUAAUGUAAAAGACAUAGAGAUUGUUAAAAAUUUGAUGGAAAGAUAUAAAAAUUUGAGAAGCAUUGAUAAACAGAAUUUAAUAUGUAAUCAUUUAACAAACGUUAAAGAAAAAGACAUAAAUGAGAUUUAUGAAUAUGCUAAACAAAAAAAAGUAGAAGAAGAAAAGGAAGUAGAAGAAGAAUAUGAAAAAAAGAAAAGAAUGAAAUUAUUAAAAUUAAGAAAGCCUGCUUAUUUACAAUCUAAAAAUAUAAAAAAAAAAAUAACUACAGAUAUAACAAGUGAAAAAGAAUAUGAUAUAAAAGCCUGCUUAAACAAUGAAAACGAAUUAAAAUGUGUAGAAAAAUAUACAUUAAUUGAAGAUAUGUAUAAAGCAUAUAUCUAUGCAAAAUCAUUUAUGUUAUUAAAUAACGAAUAUAUAUCUAAGCAUAUUAUAACAAAUGAUUUUUUUUAUAUUAUGAUAAAUGCAAUAAAAAAAAAUCUAAUUGAAAAAAUAAAGCCUACAUUAAUAAAUGAAUUUGCAGUAUAUAAAAAUCCAUACAUGUUAUUAAAAAAUGCGCUAUACAAUUUUAUACUCAACCAGUAUGUAAAAAAUAAAUAUGAAGAGAGUUUAAUCGAUGAAUAUAUAAAUAAAAAUGUUCUACUAAGAAUUUUGAAGUUAAAUAGUGCGGAAGUACCAGUAUAUGUAUACGAACCGUUGGUAUCUUUUUACGGUGACACUAGUUAUAAUUUUGAUUCACAACAAAAAUUUAAAGACGUUAUUUACACAUGUUUACAAGUUUUGAAUCUUCUUAAAAAUUAUUCCUUAAAAAACAAGGAAGGACAAUGUGAUACACACAAUGAAAACGAAAUUGGUCAUGAAAACGUAAUUGGUCAUGAAAACGUAAUUGGUUAUGACAAUAAAAGUGGUCAUGACAAUAAAAGUGGUCAUGACGAUAAAAGUGAUCAUGACGAUAAAAGUGGUUAUAACAUCAUAAAUGAAGUAUUAAAAAUUUUACCAGAGAAUAAAAAAUACCAUUUUGAGAAUUACCCUUUUGAAAAUUUGAAAUCGUUUAAAACUAAUAUAAAAAAAAAAUAUAUAGGAGGAAUUAAAAAUAAUAAACCGUUAAAUAUAGAAGAGGAAGAACUGAGUUGUAUGCGAUAUCCGAAUCUACAAAGUGUAGCACAUUCUUUACCAAAAGAUACAAAGUAUAGAGAUAACGUAAUACAUGCUAUAAAAGUAUUAGAAAGGUCAAAGUAUUGGGAUCAUACUAGUAAAAUAAAAGCAAUUAAUACAUUAAUAGAUGUAUGGAAUCAAAUGAAUUCUAGUAAUUUUUAUGAAGAAAUGUUGGAUAAAGCUUUACCAACAGUAUAUAAUCGUGAUAUGAUAAGAAAAACGAGGACUAGAAAAACUGCCUACAAUAUGGGGUUAAAGUAUAUACAAUCCCUCACCACACAAAAACCAAUUCACAUGCGCACGAAAAAAAACUAGAGCAAAAAUGGUCCGGUUAUUUAUAAUAUAUAUGCGUGCACGUAUGAACGUAUGUAUUUACAAAUGUAAGAAUAAUAUGCCUGAGUAAUUUUGGCUAUGCAUGAUUCCUCUUUUAAUCAUAAUGAAUCAA